UCCGUCCCGACGAGGAAUCAGAAGGAUGCCGGAGUCAAAUGUUCGGGCCAAAUUACCCGAUCCCAUAUGAAUGCAGGGCUAGUCGGACGACUCUCCUAAACAUGACAAAAUAAAACCCGACGAUAACUAAUCAUUAAACUUGGGUGGUCGUGAGUAGAUAGAUGAAGUU
rfam:Cohnella sp. VKM B-2846 B2846_06, whole genome shotgun sequence.